rnacentral:rRNA from 1 species
AUGCGAGGGACGAAAAUGACAUCGAACCCUAGCCCCAAUCCACGUCCCCACGCCCCUCGCUCCUUCCUCCCUCACCCGCCGCCGCUCCCUCCCACCUCCUCCUCCUCCUUCUUCUGCGCCCUAGGAGCCCCGCCGCCGCCCUGCUGCUACUCCUCCACCGGCCCACCUCUUCCUCCUCCCCGCCUUCCAUCGCUCGCGUGCAGGCCAUCGUGGCCACGCGCUUUGCGGGUGAACCCGACCGGCCCGUCACUGUUGGCUCGAGCUGCUGGGAAGAGGGAGGAGUCUGGAGACAGCGUGCAGGCACAGGCCGUGCCUGGUGAGGCGGCGCCGCCGGCCAUGGGACACUGGACCUCGGGGAGCCCCAUCCUAGGCCCGCGCCCAAAUUCUUGGGCAGGGGAGGAUAGAUCGACGAUGGCGGAUCACAUAAGGGAAUGGGAGAUCGAGGAGAAGGGAGACGAGGGUGGGUGGUGGCUUGCAGCAUGGGGCGGGCACGUCCAACGAGGGUGGUGUUCUGUGGAUCUGCUGCCCCCUCUCCUUUGGCGACCUCCUCCUCCUCAUCUGCUGCCGAUGGCUGUGAGUUCACGGCUGCUCCGGAGCUCCAACGAGCCAAGUGGAAGGAUCGGUUUUUAUGGCAUGGACUACAAAGGAGAGAAGUGGACCGUGUGA